GAUGAACGCUAGCUACAGGCUUAACACAUGCAAGUUGAGGGGCAGCAUGGUCUUAGCUUGCUAAGGCCGAUGGCGACCGGCGCACGGGUGAGUAACACGUAUCCAACCUGCCGUCUACUCUUGGACAGCCUUCUGAAAGGAAGAUUAAUACAAGAUGGCAUCAUGAGUCCGCAUGUUCACAUGAUUAAAGGUAUUCCGGUAGACGAUGGGGAUGCGUUCCAUUAGAUAGUAGGCGGGGUAACGGCCCACCUAGUCUUCGAUGGAUAGGGGUUCUGAGAGGAAGGUCCCCCANAUUGGAACUGAGACACGGUCCAAACUCCUACGGGAGGCAGCAGUGAGGAAUAUUGGUCAAUGGACGAGAGUCUGAACCAGCCAAGUAGCGUGCAGGAUGACGGCCCUAUGGGUUGUAAACUGCUUUUAUAAGGGAUAAACGAAUCCACGUGUGGAUUUUUGCAUGUACCGUAUGAAUAAGGAUCGGCUAACU
rnacentral:rRNA from 1 species